rnacentral:tRNA from 1 species
AUUUAAAUAAUUUAAUAAAAAUAUUGAUUUGUGGAGUCAAAAAUAUGAGGGAAUCAUUUUAAAUU